CGCUGGCGGCGUGCCUAAUACAUGCAAGUCGAGCGAACGGACGAGAAGCUUGCUUCUCUGAUGUUAGCGGCGGACGGGUGAGUAACACGUGGAUAACCUACCUAUAAGACUGGGAUAACUUCGGGAAACCGGAGCUAAUACCGGAUAAUAUUUUGAACCGCAUGGUUCAAAAGUGAAAGACGGUCUUGCUGUCACUUAUAGAUGGAUCCGCGCUGCAUUAGCUAGUUGGUAAGGUAACGGCUUACCAAGGCAACGAUGCAUAGCCGACCUGAGAGGGUGAUCGGCCACACUGGAACUGAGACACGGUCCAGACUCCUACGGGAGGCAGCAGUAGGGAAUCUUCCGCAAUGGGCGAAAGCCUGACGGAGCAACGCCGCGUGAGUGAUGAAGGUCUUCGGAUCGUAAAACUCUGUUAUUAGGGAAGAACAUAUGUGUAAGUAACUGUGCACAUCUUGACGGUACCUAAUCAGAAAGCCACGGCUAACUACGUGCCAGCAGCCGCGGUAAUGCGUAGGUGGCAAGCGUUAUCCGGAAUUAUUGGGCGUAAAGCGCGCGUAGGCGGUUUUUUAAGUCUGAUGUGAAAGCCCACGGCUCAACCGUGGAGGGUCAUUGGAAACUGGAAAACUUGAGUGCAGAAGAGGAAAGUGGAAUUCCAUGUGUAGCGGUGAAAUGCGCAGAGAUAUGGAGGAACACCAGUGGCGAAGGCGACUUUCUGGUCUGUAACUGACGCUGAUGUGCGAAAGCGUGGGGAUCAAACAGGAUUAGAUACCCUGGUAGUCCACGCCGUAAACGAUGAGUGCUAAGUGUUAGGGGGUUUCCGCCCCUUAGUGCUGCAGCUAACGCAUUAAGCACUCCGCCUGGGGAGUACGACCGCAAGGUUGAAACUCAAAGGAAUUGACGGGGACCCGCACAAGCGGUGGAGCAUGUGGUUUAAUUCGAAGCAACGCGAAGAACCUUACCAAAUCUUGACAUCCUUUGACAACUCUAGAGAUAGAGCUUUCCCCUUCGGGGGACAAAGUGACAGGUGGUGCAUGGUUGUCGUCAGCUCGUGUCGUGAGAUGUUGGGUUAAGUCCCGCAACGAGCGCAACCCUUAAGCUUAGUUGCCAUCAUUAAGUUGGGCACUCUAAGUUGACUGCCGGUGACAAACCGGAGGAAGGUGGGGAUGACGUCAAAUCAUCAUGCCCCUUAUGAUUUGGGCUACACACGUGCUACAAUGGACAAUACAAAGGGCAGCGAAACCGCGAGGUCAAGCAAAUCCCAUAAAGUUGUUCUCAGUUCGGAUUGUAGUCUGCAACUCGACUACAUGAAGCUGGAAUCGCUAGUAAUCGUAGAUCAGCAUGCUACGGUGAAUACGUUCCCGGGUCUUGUACACACCGCCCGUCACACCACGAGAGUUUGUAACACCCGAAGCCGGUGGAGUAACCUUUUAGGAGCUAGCCGUCGAAGGUGGGACAAAAA
rnacentral:rRNA from 1 species